AGUGAACGCUGGCGGUAGGCCUAACACAUGCAAGUCGAACGGCAGCACAGUAAGAGCUUGCUCUUACGGGUGGCGAGUGGCGGACGGGUGAGGAAUACAUCGGAAUCUACUUUUUCGUGGGGGAUAACGUAGGGAAACUUACGCUAAUACCGCAUACGACCUACGGGUGAAAGCAGGGGAUCUUCGGACCUUGCGCGAUUGAAUGAGCCGAUGUCGGAUUAGCUAGUUGGCGGGGUAAAGGCCCACCAAGGCGACGAUCCGUAGCUGGUCUGAGAGGAUGAUCAGCAACACUGGAACUGAGACACGGUCCAGCCUCCUACGGGAGGCAGCAGUGGGGAAUAUUGGACAAUGGGCGAAAGCCUGAUCCAGACAUACCGCGUGGGUGAAGAAGGCCUUCGGGUUGUAAAGCCCUUUUGUUGGGAAAGAAAAGCAGCAGGUUAAUACCCCGCUGUUCUGACGGUACCCAAAGAAUAAGCACCGGCUAACUUCGUG
rnacentral:rRNA from 1 species